GAUGAACGCUGGCGGCGUGCCUAAUACAUGCAAGUCGAGCGAACGGACGAGAAGCUUGCUUCUCUGAUGUUAGCGGCGGACGGGUGAGUAACACGUGGAUAACCUACCUAUAAGACUGGGAUAACUUCGGGAAACCGGAGCUAAUACCGGAUAAUAUUUUGAACCGCAUGGUUCAAAAGUAAAAGACGGCCUUGCUGUCACUUAUAGAUGGAUCCGCGCUGCAUUAGCUAGUUGGUAAGGUAACGGCUUACCAAGGCAACGAUGCAUAGCCGACCUGAGAGGGUGGGCGGCCCCACGGGAACUGGGCCCGGGUCCGGACUCGUAGGGGGGGCAGCAGGAGGGAAUCUCCCGAAGGGGGGGAAAGCCUGAAGGAGCACCCCCGGGUGGGUAUGGAAGGUCUUGGGAUGGAAAACCUCUUUUAUUGGGAAAAAAAAUUUGGUAAAGUAACUGGGCAAAUCUUGGCGGUCCCUAAUCAGAAACCCCCGGUUAACUAC
rnacentral:rRNA from 1 species